rnacentral:rRNA from 1 species
CAUGCAAGUCGAGCGGGCGUACCAAUACGUCAGCGGCAGACGGGUGAGUAACGCGUGGGAACAUACCUUUUGGUUCGGAACAACACAGGGAAACUUGUGCUAAUACCGGAUAAGCCCUUACGGGGAAAGAUUUAUCGCCGAAAGAUUGGCCCGCGUCUGAUUAGCUAGUUGGUGAGGUAACGGCUCAUCAAGGCGACGAUCAGUAGCUGGUCUGAGAGGAUGAUCAGCCACAUUGGGACUGAGACACGGCCCAAACUCCUACGGGAGGCAGCAGUGGGGAAUAUUGGACAAUGGGCGCAAGCCUGAUCCAGCCAUGCCGCGUGAGUGAUGAAGGCCCUAGGGUUGUAAAGCUCUUUUGUGCGGGAAGAUAAUGACGGUACCGCAAGAAUAAGCCCCGGCUAACUUCGUGCCAGCAGCCGCGGUAAUACGAAGGGGGCUAGCGUUGCUCGGAAUCACUGGGCGUAAAGGGUGCGUAGGCGGGUCUUUAAGUCAGGGGUGAAAUCCUGGAGCUCAACUCCAGAACUGCCUUUGAUACUGAAGAUCUUGAGUUCGGGAGAGGUGAGUGGAACUGCGAGUGUAG